AAUACUAUCAUCUUUUGGGACGUUGUGAAGAAGGUCCAAAAAGGUAGAGCACAGUGCAAAACGACGAUUCAGAGAAACAACAACUGCAUUCUCUCUCUCUCUUGUUAUACUGGUUGAUCUUGAGGUGGGUUUGCUCUUCGCGUCAAUGGAACGGGUUUAGAUAAGUCGAGGGAAGAGGAUUAUCAUCGGAUCAUUGACGAGAAAAAAAAAAAAAUUAAAAGGUUUGACAGAAAAAUCUGAAACCGGGACAUUUUUGGUGCGAGAUUCUGCGUUGAUCAUGGCGGUCGCUGAGAAUGCUGGGGCUAAAAUCGGUUCUUCGAGUCAAAAUUUGGACAACACUGUAGUGUCAUCAGACUCGAAAGCACCACCAUCGACUGAUCUCGAGAAAUCAAAACCCAGGACUGAUUCCGUCACCAAGAGUAAAGAAUCGAGUUUCCCGACCCAAAACAAUGAUCAGACUGUGGACCCGAAGUACCAGAACCAGACCACUUUUGCAGUCCACACAAGCAAUGGCAAAACUCAAGUGGGUCAGAUGGAAAACGGCGGGGUUGAUAGCAAUGGAGUCAACAGUCAGCAGUUGUGCCGAGGACUGUUUCGGCUUGUGGGCAUGGGCCAAAUGUGACGAUGAACGCGGAAAA